AAUUUACGGUCCACAAGAAUAUCCAUGGCCUGUGGCCAUAAUUCCAUAAACUGUAUUUGACUGAGAAGCCUUUUUAGUUGUAAAGCAUGCAACAACUAAUGGUAUCCACUGUUGUGGCCCGGAGACGAAGGAGGAAAUGGAAUUUGCAGCUCUAUACGGCAACAAUGCAUUAAUUAGACUUUCACCCCAAUUCCCACCCACCAAUUCUCUCAAUUUUCCCUCCACCCCUUGUAAGCUUACCCCAACUCUCAAGAACCCAUUUUCUUCUUCUUCUUCUUCUUCUUCAUUCAGAUUGAAUUGUUAUGGUGGAGGCUAUGGGGAUGAAGGGCCUCUCUCCACUUCACUGGCUUAUGAUAUUCUUGGCGUUACACCCAAUUGCUCUCCAGACCAAAUCAAAGCUGCUUUCCGGGCAAGGGUUAAGAAGUUCCAUCCUGAUGUGAGAAAAGAUGGUGAAAAUUCAGAUUUAAUGAUCAGACGUGUUAUUGAAGCUUAUGAGAUGUUAUCUGCCUACACAAAGUCUGAAAUUAUUGAAAGUGAAUGUUUGGAUCCCUUUGAUGAACCGGAAUGUGAAGCAUUUGAUCUGUUUGUUAAUCAGACUGUUUGCAUUGGAAAAGGUUGUUACAGUUCAUGUGUGAAGAAAGCACCUCACACAUUUAGCAUUUCCUCUUUAACGGGAUUGGCUCAGGCAACUGCACAAGGGAAGAAGGGAGCACUCAAAGCUAGGGAAAGGUGAAGAUUAUGAAGUUCAGGUUGCAGUCGGACAGUGCCCCAAGAGCUGUAUACAUUACGUUACACCUUCUCAAAGAGUCAUUCUAGAGGAGUUGCUGAACAGCAUCAUAAACAAACCGUAUGAUACUUCAGCAGAGGCAGAAUUGCUCUACACCCUAAUUGUCAAAGCUCGGUUUGAGAACAACCGCUAUAAGAAGCCAAAGAAGCAGCCGAAGGUCUCAACCAAACACGUCGAUUGGUUCUAAAGCUUAGAUCAGUUGCUGCAGGUCACAAUAUGCCCCCUAAGAUAUGUAAUAUCACUCCAGUAAUCUGCUUCUUCUCAUGAAAAACUAUAGACCAUCUAUGAUCACAUGGAUCACUAACAUAAAAAAAUUGUUUUGCUUGCGAUGUUAAUAUGAAGCGAUCAUUCUUAUGACCUUUCCAAUCCAAA